rnacentral:rRNA from 1 species
GGCGAACGGGUGAGUAACGCGUGAGCAAUCUACCUUAGUUACAGGGAUAGCCCGAGCAAACUCGGAUUAAUACCUGAUAUUCUUUACAUUUCGCAUGAAAUCAAAAGGAAAGGUCAGCCGAACUAAGAUGAGCUCGCGUUCUAUCAGCUAGUUGGUGAGGUAAAAGCUCACCAAGGCAACGACGGAUAGCUGGUCUGAGAGGACGAUCAGCCACACUGGGACUGAGACACGGCCCAGACUCCUACGGGAGGCUGCAGCAGGGAAUAUUGCGCAAUGAGCGAAAGCUUGACGCAGCGACACCGCGUGUGGGAUGACGGAUCUAGGUUUGUAAACCACUUUCAGGAGGGAAGAAAAUGACGGUACCUCCACAAGAAGCCCCGGCCAACUACGUGCCAGCAGCCGCGGUAAUACGUAGGGGGCGAGCGUUGUCCGGAUUUAUUGGGCGUAAAGAGCUCGUAGGCGGUUCAACAAGUCGGUCGUAAAAGUUCAGGGCUCAACCCUGAAAUGUCGAUCGAUACUGUUGUGACUAGGAUACGGUAGAGGUGAGUGGAAUUCCGAGUGUAGCGGUGAAAUGCGUAGAUAUUCGGAGGAACACCAAUUGCGAAGGCAGCUCACUGGGCCGCUAUCGACGCUGAGGAGCGAAAGCUAGGGGAGCAAACAGGAUUAGAUACCCUGGUAGUCCUAGCUGUAAACGAUGGAUACUAGACGUAGGAACUGGAUUGACGGUUUCUGUGUCGUAGCUAACGCGUUAAGUAUCCC